CAUACACUCGACCACUAGUAGUUUUUCAAGUUUUUGCAGGUUUUCAGGAAGGUCUCACCAGGAAAUAAUUGCUCACAAAUCGUGAUGAUGAAGGCUUGAUGACGGAAAGGUAAACAUACUAUACACGUAU
ensembl:ncRNA R04F11.13 ncRNA